GGGAGAUUUUGGCUUGCACAUGCUCCAGUGAUUGGAUAUAGUUGGAAGAUCCAGCACAGCCAUCAACAGUUUGUCUCACAACAUGGUUAAAUGAAAGAACCCUAUGAUUGAUCAACACGAGGAAUAAAAGGUAAAUACAAUGAAAAAUGACAAACAAAAUCCAUAUCAGGAUAAUUAAGUGCAGCGAAAGUAGGGACAUUCAGUACAAACGUGGGACUACGGGUUGAGCUGUCAAUAGCGGGACUCUCCUGCUGAAAACAGGACAGUUGGGAGGUAUGUUUAAAUCUAUAUUUUUUUUCAAUUUGAAAACAAUGCAGCCUGGCCACUUAUGUACAUUCUCCUGUCUCUUUGUCUUAUUAUGUCUUAAAGCCUAUACAGGUAUGGGAUACAAUAUCUGGAAACCAGAUAACCAGAAAGCUCAGAAUUACAGGAAGCCAAUCUCCCUAAGACUCAAUUUUAAUCAAAUAAUUCACAUUUUAAAAAUGUACUUGAUCUCAACUCAAGAUAUAUAGCGAGCAUAUGGAAAAGUCCCUUAUCUGGAAACCCCCAGGUCUCAUGCAUUCUGGAUAACAGGUCUCAUACUAUAUUAUUGAAAGAGGAGUGGUGAGCUUGUUGAGAAGGCUAAUUUCUAAAGCAAUGCCAUUUUUCAAUGAUUUUCAAACAACGUUUUCUCUGACUGGUUGGUAUAAACAUAUAAUCAUUAUCAAUUAACUUUAUAUAAUGUAUAGGUAAAUAAUUAGUGUGUCCUUCAUUCCCAAACCAAACUGAACCUUACUUUGCUUCCAAAGCAAGAGCAAUUAUUCCUGCAGCAAGUGGAGCCGAUGCAGAUGUGCCAGAGUGUUGGUCUGUGCAUCGCAUACGAAUAUCUGUAGUCAGCUGCAAGUAAAAAGAUUAAUAGCAAAGCAAAGAGGACAGGUAGUAGAUGUGGAGGAUUGAAUGAAAAACAUUAUUUAUGAAUUAUUAAAAAAUAAAUCUUGUGGAGCCUGAGUAACGAGAUUGCAACAGAAAAGGGACUAGAAAAAGGAACUAGAAAAAGGAACUAAAUACCCAGGCACCCAGCAAAGCAAGUAUCCAUGUACUUAAGCAUACUGGCUUUUAAUCAGGAUAAAAGCCCACAGUGGAAAAACCUGUGCCACAGGAACUAUGUCACACUUCACACCUGCUGAUCAUACGUUCUAUUACAUAAAAAAAUUAUGCUUUGGCUCUAUGUCUGUAGUUCUAAAGUCUCACUAAAUGGAACAUACAGUCUUUUUAUCAGACAUAAAGAGAGCCAAUUUAGGGCUAUGAUCACUUUUUUUGCCACUUCAAAAUAUAACUUUGGCAUACUUAAGUACAAGUUACAGGUUCCUUAACAGUUGUAUGCACAUUUGAAAAUUACUAAUAUUACUACAAUUCUGGGGGGGAGAAAGUAAUCUUGCUGUGUUAUAUCACAUUAGUACAUUACUAUGUAAUUUAUUAAACAAACAAUAAUAACAACAUCACUAAUAAUAACAAUAAUUAUGAUGAUAAUAAUAAUAAUGACACAUACCAUUUAAACAAUUUUCUGUUGGUAUAUGCUUUCAAGACUUCACCACAUUUCCCCUAACUCUUCAGAUACUAAAGGGAGAAUAUAUGGCAUACAUCUGGUGCAGUAUGAAGCCCACCUCACCUCAUAAUAAGAGUCCCCCCGCCAACCCUGGCUCUACUAAACUUUACCUAUAAAUCAAUACACCUGACAAACUACACAAUGGUCUUUAUGCAUUGCCACAGGAUCACUUAAUACCAGGGCACAGAAAAGACUGGAACAGUCAGAUUUUCACAAGUUAAAGGACGAGUGAACAUUUUGAUGCAACAACUGCAUAUAUAUUUAUUUGGAGUUCUUGCGAUCUUUUAGAUUCUGGCUUCUCUUUGUGGUCAAAAUGCCCUGCUUAUCUCAUAACAUGGUUCUCCUUAAAGGAGAAGGAAAGGUUAAAACUAAGUAAGCCUUAUCAGAAAGGUCCACCGAAAUAUACCAGUAAACCCUCAAAGUAGUGCUGCUGUGAGUCCCCUGUCAAAAGA